GUGAAUCAUCAAAUCUUUGAACGCAAAUUGCACUCUCUGGUAUUCCGGAGAGUAUGCCUGUUUGAGGGUCAGUUAAAUAAAAAUCGAGGUGGUUGCUGCUUUUCGUGGUGACGCACCGGAUUUGGGUCGUCUUGCCUUCGGUUAAUUGACCUAUAAUUUUGCAUGAUUUUUUCGAACGUAUUUAAAUGAUGUUACGUACGUUUGCGGUAUCGUAUACUAGGUUUGGUCAUCCUCAUGAUUCGUGCCUAUAAUU
rnacentral:misc_RNA from 1 species